AUUGAACGCUGGCGGCAUGCCUUACACAUGCAAGUCGAACGGCAGCACGGGUGCUUGCACCUGGUGGCGAGUGGCGAACGGGUGAGUAAUACAUCGGAACAUGUCCUGUAGUGGGGGAUAGCCCGGCGAAAGCCGGAUUAAUACCGCAUACGAUCCACGGAUGAAAGCGGGGGACCUUCGGGCCUCGCGCUAUAGGGUUGGCCGAUGGCUGAUUAGCUAGUUGGUGGGGUAAAGGCCUACCAAGGCGACGAUCAGUAGCUGGUCUGAGAGGACGACCAGCCACACUGGGACUGAGACGCGGCCCAGACUCCUACGGGAGGCAGCAGUGGGGAAUUUUGGACAAUGGGCGAAAGCCUGAUCCAGCAAUGCCGCGUGUGUGAAGAAGGCCUUCGGGUUGUAAAGCACUUUUGUCCGGAAAGAAAUCCUUGACUCUAAUACAGUCGGGGGAUGACGGUACCGGAAGAAUAAGCACCGGCUAACUACGUG
rnacentral:rRNA from 1 species